CAUUAAGUGGCCGAAUGUAAGUAGUGGUCUCUUAAACCAAUUUAUAGUAAUUAACAACUACUCUUAAUGG
rnacentral:tRNA from 1 species